UCUGACCCAAGGCGGGGUUCAUGGGGUUCGGUAACUGGGAACUUUCAUUGUUUCUUUGAUGGCCUGGGCACUCAUCAGCGGUAUUAGUGAAAACCUAAGGCAAGGCCAGGCUCUGGCUAGUCAUUGGACAACCUGUGCUAAACUAUGCCUCACAGACUGAAAAGAAAGCCGGUACCCGGAAAAGAGAAUGGGCUUAGGGGGGUCUCUGGAAAAAAGAAACACAGAAAGUUCAGCCUGAAGAACUCGUGAGGAUGAGCAAGCUUAGAAUAAUUUCAAAGAGUAGAAACAUUCCCAGGUAAAGCUAGAAGAGCAUGAGACGAUCCAGGAAGAUCUGCAUCCCAGAUGCUCUGUUUGCAACACCUUUCCACUCACCCAGGGAUGACUUUCUGUAAUAAGGAAAGCACAACACAUUUGAGGAUGGGCUAGAGAAGGGUGUGAAUCACUAAUGAAGUUCUCUUCACCCAGCUCCUGCCCACUUCAGCCAGCUCAGCAACCACUACUCCAUGCUCACACACACGAAGGCCGUAAGUAGUGUUCUCUACAGCCGUGGAUUCUGUAUCACUCGACACUGGGUGAAACACAGUGAUGGAGAAAGAAUGCUGUCUGGCAGUGUGACAUCCUUUCUGUGUCCCCACUCACUGAGGAUGACCUGUUGGGGGUUCUGCUGGAUGUGUUUGGAUUUAUUCAGGGACCUAGGCAUCAUCAGAUGACUCCCAUAGGAUUUCGGAAGAUUCCCAGGACUUCACUGCUCAGGAUCUUGUUUGUUGACACCUUCUAGAGCUCUCUGAAGCCUCAAGUGGGGUUUAGCUCAGCAUUCAUGGGUGUGACAAACUCCAAGGGAGGUGUGAAAUUUCUUGUUAAAUGUAAGGCAGAAACACGGCUCAGAAAGAACGAAAGAGGAAAGGCCAGCCAAAGCCUGCAGACUGUUGACUGUAUCUGUUGAUUUCAAAAAUGCACAGGGGCGUGGCAUUAAAAAAGAGUUAAAUGGC